AUUGAACGCUGGCGGCAUGCCUUACACAUGCAAGUCGAACGGCAGCACGGGAGCAAUCCUGGUGGCGAGUGGCGAACGGGUGAGUAGUAUAUCGGAACGUGCCCAGUAGUGGGGGAUAACUGCUCGAAAGAGCAGCUAAUACCGCAUACGACCUGAGGGUGAAAGGGGGGGAUCGCAAGACCUCUCGCUAUUGGCGCGGCCGAUAGCAGAUUAGCUAGUUGGUGGGGUAAAGGCCUACCAAGGCAACGAUCUGUAGUUGGUCUGAGAGGACGACCAGCCACACUGGGACUGAGACACGGCCCAGACUCCUACGGGAGGCAGCAGUGGGGAAUUUUGGACAAUGGGCGCAAGCCUGAUCCAGCAAUGCCGCGUGCAGGAAGAAGGCCUUCGGGUUGUAAACUGCUUUUGUCAGGGAAGAAAUCCUCUAGGUUAAUACCCUUGGGGGGAUGACGGUACCUGAAGAAUAAGCACCGGCUAACUACGUGCCAGCCGCCGCUGUAAAAC
rnacentral:rRNA from 1 species